CUCUCUCAGCAACUUGGGUAUCAGCUUGAGAAGGCUGACGUGGCCAGGCAAGCCUGUUCUGCUGCUGCUCCCUCCAUGGAGCCCUCUCGGCACCACCCCUCCUUCCUCCUCACCCCUUGUGCCUGUCUAUCUGCCUCACAUUUAUUUAUCUUUUCCUUUUUCCUAUAGUAUGCUCCUCUCACCAUAACCACAUGAGAUAAGAUUCUGGAGAUCUGGCAGUGAGAAUCAAAGGCAGAAGGAAAGUGAAAGAAGCUACUGCCAUUUUUACGGUCAAGGCUGCAAGACCUGAAGCUCCCUUGGCAGCUCAGGAUCCCAAACAACCUGCAGAUCUCUGGAGAAAGCAACCGCAUGGGAGAGGUGGAGGCUCACAGACCAGAUGGAAGAGGACAAACCUGGCCAGAGGAGAGCCCUUGCUAUCUCCCUUCAUGGUUCUGGUUAAGGACUGCAUCUCUUUAGAGGGACGGGCCACCAGCUCAGAGCACCAUGUGC
rnacentral:lncRNA from 1 species